UGUCGAGCGAAUGGAUUAAGAGCUUGCUCUUAUGAAGUUAGCGGCGGACGGGUGAGUAACACGUGGGUAACCUGCCCAUAAGACUGGGAUAACUCCGGGAAACCGGGGCUAAUACCGGAUAACAUUUUGAACCGCAUGGUUCGAAAUUGAAAGGCGGCUUCGGCUGUCACUUAUGGAUGGACCCGCGUCGCAUUAGCUAGUUGGUGAGGUAACGGCUCACCAAGGCAACGAUGCGUAGCCGACCUGAGAGGGUGAUCGGCCACACUGGGACUGAGACACGGCCCAGACUCCUACGGGAGGCAGCAGUAGGGAAUCUUCCGCAAUGGACGAAAGUCUGACGGAGCAACGCCGCGUGAGUGAUGAAGGCUUUCGGGUCGUAAAACUCUGUUGUUAGGGAAGAACAAGUGCUAGUUGAAUAAGCUGGCACCUUGACGGUACCUAACCAGAAAGCCACGGCUAACUACGUGCCAGCAGCCGCGGUAAUACGUAGGUGGCAAGCGUUAUCCGGAAUUAUUGGGCGUAAAGCGCGCGCAGGUGGUUUCUUAAGUCU
rnacentral:rRNA from 1 species